AGUAAUCCCAAAGCUGCUUCCCGUGAAACCAGAGAGAGGAACAGAAGAGAAACUGAAACAAGGACUGGGCUGCGUAAGAGAGUGCACAGAAAGCAAACAGGAAAGAUUCCACUUCCUACACUGCUACAGAGCACAUCAAACCUGUAACUUGCAAUUCAAGCCUGCAUUUCUGCUGUGAGCUGCACUGCAGGCUGGAGUUACACGGGACAGGGAAGACCAAGCAAGAAACAAGAGUUAUCUCAGAGAAAUCUUGCUGAAGUUACUCCACCCGAACUCUGGUCCAAUGUGGACAAACCAGACUGCUAGAAGAACAGACAAGGGGGAACUAGACCUACUUUCUCUCUGCUGGUGUUGCAGAACCCACCAAGAAUCAAGACAACAGCUUGAGUCAGCUUCUGCUUAGAUCAGGAAACCUGCUUCUUCCCUGAAUGUCCAUAGACUGGAAAUUCCGUUAAGGACCAGCCAGUAUUACCAAAGCUAAGAAAGAAAAAAUUCAGGAACAGAGGUUUUGUAACCAUAUGAUUUAGAAAGUCUGGAAAAAGGAAGCCCUUUGUUAAAAAAAAUAUCAAAAACCAACAAAAACAUAAAAAUGCCCACAGAACUCCAUCCUUUCCAAUACCACAGAACAACCUCCACAACAGACCUGACAUAUACAAACAAGACUCCAAGUGGGAACAUAUCAAAUACUUCUGAAAUGAAAAAGCUUUAUGAGCUAUUAAUAGUUUUACAGAAUGAAAAUAUGCAUUUACUGAGACUUUUAAGCUUCUGCAUUUAACAUGAGAUUUAAAAAAGAAUUUUUACUGAUAAUUUCUCUCUUUAGCAGGUGAAAAUCUGAACCUAUAACAUGUGCAGUGAUGAUGCUGAUUCAAACUCUAUUGACUACAUGUCAUCACAAAUUUCUUCCCUCACACUUUUCAGAUUUACAGGAGACAGGUCCCCUCUCACAGGCAGAGGGAUACCAAAAAAAGCAGUGAGGCAAGAACAGAGGAAGAAGGUAGAGAAACAUUCACGGAUCCAUGCUGACUGAUGUCAGGAUUAAAGCACAACAAUGCCAAAGACAGCUACUUUCAUAUGGGAAAGGAUGACAACCCAAGUGUACUCACAUGUAAAGCUCUCCCAGCAGCUUGUGGACAGGCAGCAAGCAGGAAAUAUCUUGGAUAAUAACUUUCCCAGCAGCUUUGAUGGGUCGGUUGUUGGCAUC